rnacentral:misc_RNA from 1 species
UGGUUCUGGCAUCGAUGAAGAACGCAGCGAAAUGCGAUACGUAAUGUGAAUUGCAGAACUCAGUGAAUCAUCGAAUCUUUGAACGCACAUUGCGCCCCCUGGCAUUCCGGGGGGCAUGCCCGUCCGAGCGUCAUGUCACCACUCGAGCCCCGCUCGGUGUUGGGCCGCGCCGACCCCCGUCGGCGGGCCCUAAACGCAGUGGCGGCGCCGUCGGCUCCCGAGCGUAGUAACGUCUGCCGCUCCGGGUGCCGCCGGUCCCGCCAGCAAUCACCCCCACGCAAGGUUGACCUCGGAUCGGGUAGGGAUACCCGCUGA